rnacentral:rRNA from 1 species
GACGAACGCUGGCGGCGUGCUUAACACAUGCAAGUCGAACGAUGAAGCGGUGCUUGCAUCGUGGAUUAGUGGCCAACUGGUGAGUAAUACGUGAGUGACCUACCAUUGACUCUGGGAUAAGCCUGGGAGACUGGGACUAAUACCGGAUACGACCAAUCUCCUCAGGGUGUGAUGGUGGAAAGUGCGGAGGUGUGGUUUUAGAUCGGCUCACGGUCUAUUGGCUUGGUGGUGGGGUAAUGGCUUACCCAGGCGACGACGGGUAGCCGGCCUUAGAGGGUGACCGGGCACACUGGGACUGAGACACGGCCCAGACUCCUACGGGAGGCAGCAGUGGGGAGUAUUGCACAAUGGGCGCGAGCCUGAUGCAGCGACGCUGCGUGAGGGAUGACGGCCUUCUGGUUGUAAACCGCUGUUAGCAUCGAAGCAGCUAAAGUGACGGUAGGUGCAGAGAAAGCGCCGGCUAACUACGUG